UAUGGCCAUAUCACAUUGAAACAUUGCUUCCCGUACACUUACUGAAGUUAAGCAACGUUGAGCAUAGUCAGUACCGAGAUGGGUGACCAAUUGGAAAUUCCAGGUGCUGUAAG